CCGGAAAAUUCAAACCUCUUGAGUGACUUCCUUUUGCGAGCUUGUAUGUGCGUGACCAAAAACUAGGGUUCCGUAGAUCGCCUGAAACUUCGCUUCUAUCAUGGCCUCUGAUUCGCCUCGGAUUCGCAUCGAUCAGUUUUUUUCUUCAAAGAAAAGGAAACCGCUAUCUCCUGGUUUGAAGACUGGAAGAAUCGAAAAAGAUUCAAAAAGAGCAGUCGAUGGUUCUCCCAGUAGCAAGGGCACCUUAGACAACUAUUUGGUAACUUCUCCGGAUGAUAAUUCCACUGCUCGUGGUUCAUCAGCAGGAAAAGGCCCAGUUAAAAGAAUUUUGACAUUGGAGAUUAAUUUGCCUUCUAAAGAUGAAAAUGAAAUUGCCCUUUUAUCAGGCCAAUUUGGAGAAACUCAUACAGAAAAUUCCCGGGGUUUAUCUCAGAUGGGUGGUGUUGGAGCUGGAGAGCAAUUGAAGGAUUGCUCAGUCUCUGCACAUGGUCCCGUGAACUCGGAACUUAAGCAAUUUUCAGCUGACUUUUUAUCUCUUUAUUGCAGUGAAUUUCCAUCAAGUGCAAGUUUGCCAUCUGGAUUGAAAGUGAAUGUGAAUAAAAGAUGUGGCAGUCCGUCUCUGCAAGAUGUGAAGAAUGAGAUUUCCAAGAAGAGGCAUUGCAUUGCCAAUGCAGACCAUUCCCGGUUAGAAGGUGAAGAUUCUUGUUUAAACGAGAAGAAUUAUGAAGAUGGGCAGCUUGGUCUUAUUGUUAAACCUGUGGAAACAAUUUUUGAUUCUUCUAGAGAGGUAACAGUUGGAAAUGAUGCCACUGAAGUUCAAGGAAGCUUGAGAAAAAGCAAUGAAACACUAAAAUCAACUGUUAAUAUGACCGAGUGCUAUACACCUGGUCCUUUGACUGUUAAUGCAUUUGCUCAUGAAACCCCCAAUUCAAUGCGUGGAAGCUCCAUGUUUUCACCUGGAGAAUCAUUCUGGAAUGAAGCAAUUCAAGUUGCUGAUGGUUUGUUUGCUCCAAAAACUGAUGAGCAAAUUAAUGCUGCCAAGAGCGAAUAUGAGAUUAAGAACUCAUGCAAUUUGAGAAAUGCUGGCUGUGGGUUUAAGUUGAAGGAAAUGUUGGUUGACGGUGACCGUACAGUUGAGGGUAUGGAAAUAGGUGUUUCUUCUGGAUCAUUAGGAUAUCGUGUGAAAGAUUCAGAUCAAGUAUCCCCACUGCCUGUUAAACGAUUUGACUUCUUGUUUGAGGAAAAGAACUUGGAUGAAACAAAUCCACCUCAUUGUUCUGCUGGUAAGCUGGAUGUUAUAGAUGGUGAACAAUCUGCUUGUGGUUCCGUGAAUCAUAAGGUUCUAAAAACCACUAGUAUUGUAAUUGAUUACUGCAAAGCUCAGACAAAUGGAGGAAUGAGUGAAGUAAAAGAUAUGAAUUCAAUUGAUGCAGAAGCCAAAAGGGAAGUGGAUUUAUUGAGUCAAGAAAAGGAUAACAUCAAAGCUGAUUCACCAGAUUUGGGAAUCGCUAAAUCCAUUAUUGCCCGUGAAUGUGAUGAAGCAAGUACUCCAUCAAGUUUUGAGCCCCUGAAGAAUAGUUUAGAUCUUAGCAAAUGGCUUCCUUCUGAGAUAUGCAACAUAUAUAGAAAGAAAGGAAUUUCAAAACUGUACUCUUGGCAGGUUGACUGCCUUAAGGUGGAUGGCGUCUUGCAGAAAAGGAACCUUGUGUAUUGUGCAUCUACAAGUGCUGGCAAAAGUUUUGUUGCUGAAAUUUUAAUGUUGCGACGAGUAAUAUCAACGGGAAAAAUGGCACUUCUUGUACUUCCAUAUGUUUCAAUUUGUGCAGAAAAGGCAGAGCAUCUGGAAGUCCUCCUGGAACCACUUGGUAAGCAUGUCAGUAGUUACUAUGGAAAUCAAGGUGGUGGAACACUUCCUAAAGACACUUCUGUAGCUGUCUGCACAAUUGAGAAGGCAAACUCUUUAAUCAACAGAUUGCUGGAAGAGGGUCGCCUGUCAGAAAUUGGAAUUAUUGUAAUAGAUGAAUUGCACAUGGUUGGCGACCAGAAUAGGGGUUAUCUUUUGGAACUUCUGUUGACAAAGCUUCGUUAUGCUGCUGGUGAAGGACAUGUUGAAUCAGUUAGUGGUGAGAGUUCAAAUAUGAGCAGUGGCAAAUCUGAUCCUGCUCAUGGUCUGCAAAUUGUUGGGAUGAGUGCAACCAUGCCUAAUGUAGCAGCGGUUGCUGAUUGGCUUCAAGCAGCAUUGUACCAAACAGAUUUCCGACCAGUUCCAUUGGAGGAAUACAUUAAAGUUGGUAACACCAUUUAUGACAAGAAAAUGGAUAUUAUUAGGACAAUAUCGAAAACAGCUGAUCUUGGUGGUAAAGAUCCUGAUCAUAUUGUGGAAUUGUGCAAUGAGGUUGUUCAGGAGGGUCAUUCAGUGCUACUAUUUUGCUCUAGUAGAAAAGGAUGUGAAUUUACUGCAAGGCAUGUUUCAAAAUUCCUCAAAAAAUUCUCUACCAAUGCCCAUAACGAUACUGGUGAGUUUGUUGAUAUUAGUUCAGCUAUUGAUGCCUUACGGAGAUCUCCUGCGGGACUGGAUCCUAUACUGGAAGAAACUCUCCCUUCUGGUGUUGCCUAUCACCAUGCUGGCCUCACGGUUGAGGAAAGAGAGAUUGUCGAGACAUGCUAUCGCAAAGGGCUCCUACGUGUCUUAACUGCUACAUCUACCUUAGCUGCUGGUGUUAACCUCCCUGCUAGGAGGGUCAUUUUCCGACAACCAAGGAUUGGUCGUGAUUUUAUUGAUGGAACUAGGUACAAACAGAUGGCUGGACGGGCUGGACGAACUGGAAUAGAUACAAAAGGGGAAAGUGUACUGAUUUGCAAACCUGAGGAGGUCAAAAGAAUUUGUGGACUUCUCAAUGAGAGUUGUCCACCAUUGUAUUCUUGUCUCUCUGAAGAUAAGAAUGGAAUGACUCAUGCAAUCUUGGAAGUUGUGGCUAGCGGAAUUGUUCAAACUGCUAAUGAUAUUAAUCGAUAUGUUAGGUGCACUCUUCUUAAUUCCACCAAGCCAUUUCAAGAUGUGGUUAAAUCAGCACAGGAUUCUCUUAGGUGGUUAUGCCACAGAAAAUUUCUUGAAUGGAAUGAAGAUACUAAGUUAUACAGCACCACUCCUCUUGGACGGGCAGCUUUUGGCAGUUCUCUCUGUCCUGAAGAAUCGCUUGUUGUGCUGGAUGAUCUUUCAAGGGCACGAGAAGGAUUUGUUCUUGCAUCUGAUUUGCAUCUAGUUUACUUAGUGACACCCAUUAAUGUUGAUGUUGAGCCAGAUUGGGAAUUGUUCUAUGAAAGGUUCAUGCAAUUGUCUGCUCUUGACCAGUCAGUUGGCAAUCGAGUUGGAGUGGUGGAACCAUUUUUGAUGCGCAUGGCCCAUGGUGCACCUAUGCGUGCUUCAAACAAAUCAAGAAAUAAUGGAAAAGGGUUGCAUGACAAAUUUGACAACCGACUUGGGAUCACAAAAUGUAGUUUGCUCUCAGAUGAGCAAACACUUCGUGUUUGUAAGCGAUUUUAUGUUGCUCUCAUCUUGUCAAAACUAGUGCAGGAAGUACCGGUGACUGAGGUUUGCGAAGCUUUUAAAGUGGCUAGAGGCAUGGUUCAAGGCUUGCAAGAGAAUGCUGGAAGGUUUGCGUCUAUGGUUUCUUUGUUUUGUGAAAGGCUUGGCUGGAAUGAUUUGGAAGGCUUGGUUGCUAAGUUCCAAAAUCGUGUUUCAUUUGGAGUGAGAGCAGAGAUCGUAGAGCUUACUACCAUUCCAUAUGUUAAGGGUUCUCGAGCAAGAGCACUUUAUAAAGCUGGCUUGCGUACACCUCUAGCAAUUGCAGAAGCAUCAAUACCUGAGAUAGUGAAAGCUCUGUUUGAAUUUUCAUCAUGGGCUGCAGAAGGAAAUUCAGUGCAACGAAAUGUACAAUUGGGAGUAGCCAAGAAGAUUAAGAAUGCUGCACGCAAAAUUGUGCUUGAUAAAGCUGAAGAAGCAAGGAUUGCUGCUUUCUCAGCUUUCAAAUCACUUGGGCUUAAUGUUCCACAGUUUUCACGUCCUUUGUUGUUAAUUGCUAAUGACAAUCCUAGCCAAGAAGCUGCAAGUACCUCUUCUGGGGAGGGUGCUACUAGUAGCUUUGUUGGUACAGAAUGCAUGAAAUCAGGUAAGCCAGCUGUAGAAGGAAGUGAGAAUUCUAAUAAAGUUGCUUCAGAAAUUGGAGUGGAGAAGUUAAAAAAUAUGUCAGAUGUUAUCUUGGGAACUGCAGGGGAGGUAAAAUCAACUGGCCCCAUACAGUGUAAAUUUGGUGCUGAAAAUCCUGCAGUACUGUCAAUUCUCAAUGAUGAACUUAACAGCAUUGUGGAUCGUAAUGAAAAUGCAGUGAUGCCACUUUCUAUUAAGUCAAUGAAUACUGGUAAUGGAAAUGGGACAUUGGAUGCAUAUGUGGAUCAUGGUCAGCAUGAGCAGCAAAGAGGAGAAAAUGAAUGUCUUGACAAUAAUGGCAAAGCCUAUGAGAAGGGUCCUAUUCAUGCAACUAAUACUCCUGGUGGGUUUGAUUCUUUCUUAGAUCUCUGGGAUAGUGUGAGAGAAUUCUAUUUUGAUAUUCACUUCAACAAACGGUCUGAAGUAAAUUCUCUUGCACCCUAUGAAAUACAUGGCAUAGCAAUCUGUUGGGAAAAUUCUCCUGUGUAUUAUAUCAAUCUUCCUAAGGAUCUACUUUGCUCUGAUGAAAGGAAAAAUAAUUACUUAACCAUGAAUGUAUCUGAUGACAAGCCAAACAUUUUAGAUGCAAAUCAUAGGUUGGAAGCAGCUAAAUGGCGAUGGAGCAAGGUUGGUAAGAUAAUGGGGAAAAAGGAUGUCAGGAAAUUUACUUGGAAUUUGAAAGUUCAGAUUCAGGUGCUAAAAAAUCCUGCAGUUUCCAUUCAAAAAUUUGGUAGUCUGAAUCUUGCAAUGAGAACUAUGGGACUUGAACUUAUAGACAACUCCUACCUUAUGUUGUCCCCAGUUUAUAUUGUGGAUGGACUAGACAUGUGUAUUGUAACAUGGAUCCUUUGGCCUGAUGAAGAGAGAAGCUCCAAUCCAAAUCUGGAGAAGGAAGUUAGGAAAAGGUUAUCCAGUGAGGCAGCAGCAGCUGCUAAUCGGAGCGGAAGGUGGAAAAAUCAGACUCGAAGAGCUGCCCAUAAUGGUUGCUGCCGUCGCGUUGCACAAACACGUGCCCUAUGUUCCGUUCUAUGGAAAUUGCUGGUUUCUGAAGAACUUGUUGAAGUGGUUUUGAGAAUUGAAAUCCCAUUGGUUACGAUUCUUGCGGACAUGGAAGUCUGGGGAAUAGGUGUUGAUAUGGAGGGAUGCAUUCAGGCACGAAAUGUGCUGGGAAAGAAGCUAAGGCAUCUUGAAAAGGAAGCUUAUGAGUUGGCUGGCAUGACAUUUUCAUUGUAUACAGCAGCAGAUAUUGCUAAUGUUCUCUAUGGACACUUGAAGUUGCCCAUACCAGAGGGGCACAAGAAAGGGAAGCAACAUCCAAGUACUGAUAAGCAUUGCUUAGAUUUGUUAAGGCAUGAACAUCCUAUUAUUCCAGUCAUUAAAGAACACCGGACACUGGCAAAACUCUUAAACUGUACAUUGGGUUCAAUUUGUUCUCUGGCUAGGCUUUCUUUGCAGACGCAAAGAUACACCCUGCAUGGCCAUUGGCUCCAAACAUCAACAGCGACUGGACGCCUUUCAAUGGAAGAACCUAACCUUCAGUGUGUUGAGCAUGUGGUUGAGUUCAAAAUGAUCAAAGGCAACAAAGAUGUAUGCAAUUCUGAAGCUGACCAUUACAAAAUUAAUGCUCGUGACUUCUUCGUUCCUUCUCAGGAGAACUGGUUACUGUUAACAGCGGAUUAUUCCCAGAUUGAACUGCGGCUAAUGGCUCAUUUUUCUAGGGACUCUUCAUUAACUGAACUCCUUAGCAAGCCCCAUGGUGAUGUCUUUACCAUGAUUGCAGCAAAAUGGACUGGGAAGCCAGAAUCUGUUGUUGGCUGCCAGGAGCGAGAACAGACCAAAAGGUUGGUCUAUGGCAUUCUUUAUGGAAUGGGUGCUAAUACCCUUGCCAAACAGCUAGAAUGUAGCUUAGGUGAAGCAGAAGAAAAAAUUCGAAGUUUUAGAAGUUCUUUUCCUGGUGUUGCUUCCUGGCUUCAUGAAGCAGUUGCAUGUUGCUGUAAGAAAGGAUAUGUGAAGACACUUAAGGGAAGAAAGCGCUUCUUGUCAAAAAUAAAAUUUGGGACUAGUAAAGAAAAAUUGAAAGCUCGGAGGCAAGCUGUGAAUUCCAUUUGUCAGGGAUCCGCUGCCGACAUAAUCAAGAUUGCAAUGAUAAAUAUUCAUUCUGUGAUUGCUGAAGGAGUGGAUGAGCCUAAUUCUAGCACAGAACUUCCAGCAAAAUUUCACAUGCUGAAGGGGCGUUGCCGGAUAAUUCUACAGGUUCAUGAUGAACUAGUACUUGAAGUUGAUCCUUCUGUUAUGAAGGAAGCUGGAUUGUUGUUAAAAAUGACCAUGGAAAAUUCUACCUCACUGCUGGUCCCUUUGCUUGUGAAGCUAAAGGUUGGAAGAACAUGGGGUUCUUUGGAGCCUUUCCAUGCUGAACCACUUGGAGAUGAAAUGCUUGUUCUGCAAAAAGAUGUUUGAUCACAAUGGAGAACAAAUUUUAGUGGCAGUUUAGAUCAAUGUAAUCAGCCACAUGUGAAAAGGAGUGUCAAUAAGGAACCACAAUUUGGAAUUUUGGGUUUCACCUAAUAUCAUCUAAAAGCGAGAUUUGGAAAGAAGAAACCAUAGAGAUUUGAAACACCUUCUAGCUCAUUGUAGUCUAGCUGAUUUGCUUAAGUGGAAUGACUAUCAUCCAUUAGUCACCUCUUGCCACAAGUCUGAAGAGAAACUGAGGAGAUCAUAUAAAAGCCUUGAGUUUCCGUGAUGGAUGGUAGGGAUUGGUUUUCCUAAUGUGGUUAAUGAUCCUGCAAUUUCUGGGUUGCCCUAAAGCUAAUUCCAUGUCGAAAUUGUCACUUUUUAACACUUUGCCUGGCCUGGCAAGGAGUAGACAAACAAGGUCUAUCAGCUCGACACUAAGUUCAUAGGCAACAAAUAAAAUUGGUUAGUCAUUCAUCUUCAAACUGCCCUUUCACUCGCUGCUUAUGCCACAUACAACUCUACUGGAUCAUCAAACAUGGGAACUGGUUGGAAUUGAUGGUAGACUGGGUGGUUUUGUUAUAGAAGCUGGUUGCCUCCAUCUAAGUCCACUGGGUUGUUGUAUUGGUAAACCAUUAAAACCUUUGGUUCCAAGAUAGGAUGAAGUCUCUUUCCCAAGAAGUAGGAAUUGAGCAAGGAAAGAUAAAAAGCAAAUGGUGAAUGGUUCCCCUGCACCUUUCAAAGUGCAAGGAGAAGAUGCUGCACAGAGAAGUAUAACUAUUAUCUUAACACUCCACUGAACUCUCACAGGGCACAACCCACCUGGCCGUAAAACAUCUCUGAUAGAUUUCGGCAUUGGAGUGUUUGGCAGCAUAGAAUUCCAGUACACUUCAGAAGGUAAAACAGCAUGGCUUGUCAGUGCUAGCUGCAUGGAAAGUUAGGAUAAGUUCUCAUCAGCUUCUCAUAUCAAUGUAGAUAAUAAAAAAAACAACUAAAGCAUAAUCUUUUCUCUAAGGGUCAUACGCAGAGAAAAGCUAGAAUGGGUAGUAGGUGAAACUCCAUUGAAGCUCUGGAGCUGCAAGAGAAGCAAUAAUGGUGGGAGUGAACAAGAACUGGAACCUUUGCUUGCUUGUGUAAAGAACAGUGUGGAUUGUUCUUUUAUAGCCUAAUUUUAGUGCAGGAAACUUGGAAUGCAACAUGCCACCUAUAUCUGCGAUUUGUUUAAUUCUUCAGCUACCCUUUGCCUAUACAUAUUAAAUGGAGCUGGCCCAAAUGGCACAGGUGAAGAUGGAGUGAAAGAAAAGAUUUGGUAUUAAGGAGUGUAUUGUUAUUUGUGUGAUGUUCACUUCAUGGGUUACUUUUUGGCAUGGGAAAGCAAUGUUGGGUGUUAUAUUGAA